UUUCCUAUGAUGAAGCCAUGGGAAAGAAAUAAAAUUAAUGAUUCAUUGUGUAGUUAUUGUUUGGGAAACUACCUAGUUUGGAGUUAGUCUGUUAGGAAAGAAAGAGCAGUCAGUAUCACUGAAAGAAUGUCAAAAAAGAAUGAAAAUUUGUCAGUAAGCAGGAGAAUUACAGAAAGAUAGGGACAGAGGGCAUCAUGAGCAGUUUUAUUCUCCUUCCACUUGCCUCCAAAUAGGAUGUGCUAUGUGUUACAGAUUCUUGUAUCAAUCCCGCAAGGUCUUGGCCUAAUCAUAAUGAUCUAUAAUGUUGAAGAGUCCACAAACUCUUUAGGAAAACUGCCCUUGUACUUCAUUAUCCAUUACCACUAGAUUUUUUUUUUUAUUUAAUAUCUACCCUAAAUUGUUGCUGCUGUAAUUGAAGUCUGUUGCUUACAGUCGUAUCCAUGCAUAGAGAACAGAUUUCUUUUUUUAUCAUUGUGUCAAUCUUUCAGACUCCUGUUAGGCACAUUGUCUGCUGAGAGUUAUUUAAUACAUGAAAACUACCUCCAGUCCAUCAGCUGAAAAUAGGUAAAGGUUGAGAAGGUUUUGGAUGUAUCAUCUUUUCUUGUACUGACUUUCUUUGAGCUUCUGUUCCUGGCCAUUACGAGAAACAUGAUAACAGGUGAGAUGGUGGACCUUUGAGAUGAUUUAUUCUUUUCCAUUGUGAUUUUAUGUAACUUUGAACAUGUUAUUGUACCCCCUCUCAGCCGCCUUCUUUUAUUCAGGUUUAAUAGCUUCAUUUUUUUCAGUAGGUAGGUCAUGUUUUGUAGAACUUGAUCAUUCUUUUUCCUCUAUUGCAGGCAUAGACUGGUUUACAUCCUCCUUGAAACAUAGGUCUCAGAAGAGAGCUCUGUGCUGAGUUCAGCUAUGAUGAGUGGACUGGAAAGAUUUCUUCUCUUUUUCGACUUUUUCAGAACUGAAGUUGACUGGCCUCAAUUCCUUUUUUCUCCCUUUUCAACACCUGUGCUAUAUUCUUCAAUGCUCCAGUACUUCAUCUUUCUCAGAAGUUCUUUUUUGUUAUGAAGCUGUUUCAGACAUUUCAGAUUUUUUUUUUUUUUCAGUUUUUCUGGGGAAAAAAAGCCACAAAAACUUGGUCUACACAAAUCUCUGAAAGAACUGAAGAACUACAUGUCUGUGCCACUUUCAAAAAUAAGUUUGGUUUUUUUUAACGCAGAAGUUCUGUAAGGUACCUUUUAACCUUACUCUCAAUAUGACUCAUGUUACCUAACUGUCAGCAUUAUGACAGCAUUCAAAAAAUUGUUUGAAAGAAAUAAUGAAUCCUGAAACUGUAAAAUAUCUGGGUGGAUAUAGAUUUAAUUCACUUUAAAAGUUUAAAGCACCAUUAUUCAGCUCAAAUUGUCUUCCUAACACAGGUAAUGUAGCUCUUCCAUUAUGUAAACCCUAUUAUUUAACGUAUUUGAGUAAAAUGCAAGCUUUGUAUGAAGACUAUGUUUUCCUUUGUAAACAUUCCUUGAAAUACUGGAACAUGGUAAGACAGAUGUGACUGAACCUAGAUCAGUUCUGAAAAGGAAAAAAUAUGGCUCCAACCUAUUGAAAGAUAUUAUUAAGCUGGUCAGCAAAACAGUAGGUAAACAGGAACUGACAGUUAUAAUUAAUUUUUAUUCAGAAAUGCUGCAAUCAAACACCUCAUAAAAAGUUUUGUGGAAAUACUGAUAUUUUGGGAUAAGAGACAAACUACUGUUAUGGAUUGGAUACUGACAAACAGUGGUUUUAAACAUGGAAAUAUAAAAUACAGAGUUUGCUAAAUUGUGCAAUUUAGGAUGUCUUUUAGUCUUCAUUAAUGAUCUGGAAACAAGAUGAAUAGAGAAACUGAAUUAAGCAAAUGAAGCUAAAUACUGGCUGCUUUUGCAACCAGUAAUAUUUCUUGGGCUUUUUUUUAAAGUUCAAUCAAUACAUUAGCCAUUUUUCUAUACCUCAAUUUCAAAAGAAGAUAAAAGGUACACAUCUCAAUAACUGUGUUUCACAGCAGGUCCAAUGCUGUUGUUCCCCCUCAUAAGGUAGUUUUUGUACACAUACUGAAAGUAGAAGUUGGUUUAGAAGAACUGAAAUUACUUGAUGAGUGACCCUGGAGGCACCUAUUGUCAGUUUGUCUUUUUGCCUGGUUUACACCAGGACCCUUGCUUCCCAGUUGCAUGCACACUAUGUUUGAACAUUAUACAGAUGAUACACAGUAAUUCACUCUCAGACUUCUAUUAUGGUGUAAAUCCUGAGUUUUUUUCUGGAAGUCCAUGCAUUUGGUAGAAGAAUGCCUUAGAUUGUGAAUGCUUGUGGGUUGCAUAUAAUCAUAUGUGUGCAUGCAUGAAUGUCUCAAACUAAGCCUUCGAAUUCUUAAGCACAGCCUACUGUAGUGAGCUACAGCCAGUGUGGGCUAGUUGUAAACUGUGAUAACAGCCUGACUGAACGGAAGUUACACACAUGGGACUAUAUAAAGUGUAGACAUAUGCAAUGUACAUUUGUCAAAAGAACCAUCUGGGAAGCUGGUGAUGCAUUGUGCUUCUGCGCAUAGACUGUUGAGAUUGGGGAAGCCUUGUCCUGUGGGAGAUAUGCUUUGAAAUGCACCAGCCAUUGCUGGAGGCCCAGAGACACUGCAAACAGCUGGACCACGUGAAACCAACAGGACUGCCAGUCCAGCUUUCCUAGACCUGCAGCGAUGCCUUGAUGGGAAGGGAAGGCAAGACUGAGUAAUGCUGGAGUGAACUGAGUGCAUGAAAUAAUCAGAGUUGAAGCACUAUUCUUUUUGGUUCUUAAAUAAACCCCAGUGUUCAAACCUG